UACGUAGGAGGCGAGCGUUGUCCGGAAUUACUGGGCGUAAAGAGCGCGUAGGCGGCGCAAUACGACAGGUGUGAAAGCCCCCGGCUCAACCGGGGAGGGUCGCCUGUAACGGUUGUGCUCUGAGUGCAGGAGAGGGAUGUGGAACUCCGGGAGUAGCGGUGAAAUGCGUAGAGACCCGGAGGAACACCAGUGGCGAAGGCGGCAUCCUGGUCUGCGACUGACGCUGAGGCGCGAAAGCUAGGGGAGCGAACGG
rnacentral:rRNA from 1 species